rnacentral:ncRNA from 1 species
CUUUCCGGGAGAGAACCCGCAGGGGUCGCCGAAGGGGCAAGGUUUUAACCGAAACUUUCAGGCAAAAGGACCGGAGAG